UACGUAGGUGGCAAGCGUUGUCCGGAAUUACUGGGUGUAAAGGGAGCGUAGGCGGGUGCGCAAGUUGAAUGUUUAAACUAUCGGCUCAACCGAUAAUCGCGUUCAAAACUGCGUAUCUUGAGUGAAGUAGAGGCAGGCGGAAUUCCUAGUGUAGCGGUGAAAUGCGUAGAUAUUAGGAGGAACACCAGUGGCGAAGGCGGCCUGCUGGGCUUUUACUGACGCUGAGGCUCGAAAGCAUGGGUAGCAAACAGG
rnacentral:rRNA from 1 species